rnacentral:rRNA from 1 species
GACGAACGCUGGCGGCGUGCCUAAUACAUGCAAGUCGAGCGAGACUCUUCGGAGUCUAGCGGCGGACGGGUGAGUAACACGUGGGCAACCUGCCUGUAAGACUGGGAUAACACCGGGAAACCGGUGCUAAUACCGGAUAAUCCUUUUUCUCUCAUGAGGAAAAGCUGAAAGUCGGUUUCGGCUGACACUUACAGAUGGGCCCGCGGCGCAUUAGCUAGUUGGUGAGGUAACGGCUCUCCAAGGCGACGAUGCGUAGCCGACCUGAGAGGGUGGUCGGCCACACUGGGACUGAGACACGGCCCAGACUCCUACGGGAGGCAGCAGUAGGGAAUCUUCCACAAUGGACGAAAGUCUGAUGGAGCAACGCCGCGUGAGCGAUGAAGGCCUUCGGGUCGUAAAGCUCUGUUGUUAGGGAAGAACAAGUACCGGAGUAACUGCCGGUACCUUGACGGUACCUAACCAGAAAGCCACGGCUAACUACGUGCCAGCAGCCGCAGUAA